CAGGAAGGCAUGGGAAGGACGCUUUUCCUGGGCAAAGGCAGAGAGAUGAGCUAUGAAGGCGCAGUGCCCCUCAGACACACCAGGGCUGGGGUGUUUUGUGGUUCAAGCAGAGAUGGAAUGCAAGGGGCCACUUUUGCCUUGCGAUUGGCAUGGUGUGACUGUAGCCAUCAUUCAAAGCUCUAUGUUCUCAUCCUGAUAAACCUGGACUGAUGAGAGGCCUCCCUGACAUUUUUCUUAUCUUAGAGUUACAGUUUGCUGCUGCUCCCACCUGCAGGAAGAAUUUGGCUUGCACCUCAGUGAAGAACACAGUGGAGUGAUAGCAAUUUCCAAAGAACUAUUUGAAACUGAUGACUGUAUCCUGCAGAUGAGCUUUAGAAUACGGAGUGAGCCCCCAGAAGGAGCUGCCUUCCUUUCUUCAUUGAGGUGGAAGUGCUCAGCAUCACCCUCUACAUACCUCUGACACAGAUUUGUGUAGCUCCAGGACACCAAGAGGGAGCCCUGCUUUCUGUGACAGUGCCAGACUCAAGCUGUCUUCACUUGUGUUGUGUCCCUGCUGUGUUCUAAUCUGUUUGAAUUGCAGAUACAUUGUCUUAUGGGGAAAAACUCCUAACAGACAAACCCUAUCUAUCUGUUAGUUUGGUACUGAGCCCUUAUGCCCUGAAGGACAAGGAAGAAACUGCUGCAGCAAUGACCCAAGAUUUGGUGGUGACUGUGAGGUCUUUUUGUUGGAAAGCACUGCUUUUUUUUAUUUUUCUUUUUUUUUUUUCCCCUCCUUGAAACUGAGGGACUUGGUGACUAUAGUUGUUUAUGUUUGAAUGUGCUGAUGGGGAAAUUGAGGGGUCCUUCUGUAAGGACUUGAUUAGUAAGGGUCAGGAGUGAUAAAAUAUCUGGAAGACAUGUAUACCUCCUCUUAAAAGCUGGCUUAUCAAUCAAAUGUGGAUGUCAAGGAAGAAGCAAUCUCUUCUACGUGCUGGAUAGCAUUCUGUGUGUCCCUGAUGCAGCAGUGGCUCGGAUGAGCUCUGCAGAUCCACUGAGAGUAACUGCUCAUGACUGCAUUAGUGGAAAUGGAUGUUUAUGACUGAUCCCUUGGUGGUUGCAAAGCCCAUCAUGCUUCAUCAAAACAUAACACUCGGUGUGGUUCAAGUCCCACAGAUGAAGUGCUUUGCUAAAGGUCCCUCAAAAAAUGUAAAGCAGACUCAGGAGAUGAACCCAAGUCACCCGACAUUCCACCUUAGCCAAAAUGCCUACUUGCAUUGUGGGAAGCUUGGCAAGAAAUAAGGGUAAUGAAACUGCCCAGCUGCCUGGGAGACUGUCUCUGCUACUAUACAGCAGGCAAGCAGAAGAAUGAACUGAACAUCUAGAAGAUUACUUAAAAUAGGUUAUGGUGAUAAGAAAUAGACAAUCCUGUACAAUGUUGAAAAGGUCAGUGGAUUAGAGUGCUGAUUUCU